UCAAGAAGAAUUUCAAAUACA
rnacentral:piRNA from 1 species